rnacentral:rRNA from 1 species
AAGCAGGGGAUCGUAAGACCUUGUGCUUUUGGAGUGGCCGAUGCCUGAUUAGCUAGUUGGUAGGGUAAUGGCCUACCAAGGCGACGAUCAGUAGUUGGUCUGAGAGGACGACCAGCCACACUGGGACUGAGACACGGCCCAGACUCCUACGGGAGGCAGCAGUGGGGAAUUUUGGACAAUGGGCGCAAGCCUGAUCCAGCAAUGCCGCGUGAGUGAAGAAGGCCUUCGGGUUGUAAAGCUCUUUCAGUCGAGAAGAAAAGGUUGUGACUAAUAAUCAUAACUCAUGACGGUAUCGACAGAAGAAGCACCGGCUAACUACGUGCCAGCAGCCGCGGUAAUACGUAGGGUGCGAGCGUUAAUCGGAAUUACUGGGCGUAAAGGGUGCGCAGGCGGCUUUGUAAGUCAGAUGUGAAAUCCCCGGGCUUAACCUGGGAAUUGCGUUUGAAACUACAAAGCCAGA